rnacentral:misc_RNA from 1 species
AAGUCGUAACAAGGUUUCCGUAGGUGAACCUGCGGAAGGAUCAUUAACAAAUAUAAUCCUUUUAUAUACCUUUUGUGUGAAAUUUUAACAGUAAAAAAAUGACUCUGGUAUUUGGUUUUGAACUUGUAGUUCAAUUUGAAUUGCCUACCAGUAGUUUUUUCUUAUAAACUAUUAUAUCAUUUUGUUGAUUUAAAUCUUUUUUGAUCAGUCGUUUUUUCUGUUUAAUUUCUGUUAAACUGAAUCAAUACUGUGAAUAAACUUUAAUACAACUUGCAACAAUGGAUCUCUUGGCUCUU